UACGUAGGGUGCGAGCGUUGUCCGGAAUUAUUGGGCGUAAAGAGCUUGUAGGCGGUCUGUCGCGUCUGCUGUGAAAAUCCGGGGCUCAACCCCGGACUUGCAGUGGGUACGGGCAGACUAGAGUGUGGUAGGGGAGACUGGAAUUCCUGGUGUAGCGGUGAAAUGCGCAGAUAUCGGGAGGAACACCAGUGGCGAAGGCGGCACUCUGGGCCGGAACUGACGCUGAGGAGCGAAAGCGUGGGGAGCGAACAGG
rnacentral:rRNA from 1 species